UACGAAGGGGGCUAGCGUUGCUCGGAAUCACUGGGCGUAAAGCGCACGUAGGCGGACUCUUAAGUCGGUGGUGAAAUCCUGGAGCUCAACUCCAGAACUGCCUUCGAUACUGGGAGUCUCGAGUCCGGGAGAGGUGAGUGGAACUGCGAGUGUAGAGGUGAAAUUCGUAGAUAUUCGCAAGAACACCAGUGGCGAAGGCGGCUCACUGGCCCGGUACUGACGCUGAGGUGCGAAAGCUAGGGGAGCGAACGGG
rnacentral:rRNA from 1 species